CACGUAGGGGGCACGCGUUGUCCGGAUUUAUUGGGCGUAAAGAGCUCGUAGGCGGCUUAGUACGUCGGGUGUGAAACCUCCAGGCUCAACCUGGAGACGCCACCCGAUACUGCUGUGGCUAGAGUCCGGUAGGGGAGCGUGGACUUCCUGGUGUAGCGGUGAAAUGCGCAGAUAUCAGGAGGAACACCAGCGGCGAAGGCGGCGCUCUGGGCCGGUACUGACGCUGAGGAGCGAAAGCGUGGGGAGCAAACAGG
rnacentral:rRNA from 1 species